GUGCCAGCAGCCGCGGUAAUACAGAGGGUGCGAGCGUUGUCCGGAAUCACUGGGCGUAAAGGGCGUGUAGGCGGCUGGAUAAGCCGCGUGUGAAAUCCCGGGGCUCAACCCCGGAACGGCACGCGGGACUGUUCGGCUAGAGAAUGGUAGAGGCAAGUGGAAUUCCUGGUGUAGCGGUGGAAUGCGUAGAGAUCAGGAAGAACACCGGUGGCGAAGGCGGCUUGCUGGGCCAUUUCUGACGCUGAGGCGCGAAAGCGUGGGGAGCAAACAGGAUUAGAAACCCCGGUAGUCC
rnacentral:rRNA from 1 species